UGGGGAAUUUUGGACAAUGGGCGAAAGCCUGAUCCAGCAAUGCCGCGUGUGUGAAGAAGGCCUUCGGGUUGUAAAGCACUUUUGUCCGGAAAGAAAUCCUUGGCUCUAAUACAGUCGGGGGAUGACGGUACCGGAAGAAUAAGCACCGGCUAACUACGUGCCAGCAGCCGCGGUAAUACGUAGGGUGCAAGCGUUAAUCGGAAUUACUGGGCGUAAAGCGUGCGCGGGCGGUUUGCUAAGACCGAUGUGAAAUCCCCGGGCUCAACCUGGGAACUGCAUUGGUGACUGGCAGGCUAGAGUAUGGCAGAGGGGGGUAGAAUUCCACGUGUAGCAGUGAAAUGCGUAGAGAUGUGGAGGAAUACCGAUGGCGAAGGCAGCCCCCUGGGCCAAUACUGACGCUCAUGCACGAAAGCGUGGGGGAGCAAAACAGGAUUAGAUACCCUGGUAGUCCACGCCCUAAACGAUGUCAACUAGUUGUUGGGGAUUCAUUUCCUUAGUAACGUAGCUAACGCGUGAAGUUGACCGCCUGGGGAGUACGGUCGCAAGAUUAAAACUCAAAGGAAUUGACGGGGUCAUAGCUGUUUCCU
rnacentral:rRNA from 1 species